UGGGGAAUAUUGCACAAUGGGCGCAAGCCUGAUGCAGCCAUGCCGCGUGUAUGAAGAAGGCCUUCGGGUUGUAAAGUACUUUCAGCGGGGAGGAAGGGAGUAAAGUUAAUACCUUUGCUCAUUGACGUUACCCGCAGAAGAAGCACCGGCUAACUCCGUGCCAGCAGCCGCGGUAAUACGGAGGGUGCAAGCGUUAAUCGGAAUUACUGGGCGUAAAGCGCACGCAGGCGGUUUGUUAAGUCAGAUGUGAAAUCCCCGGGCUCAACCUGGGAACUGCAUAUGAUACUGGCAAGCUUGAGUCUCGUAGAGGGGGGUAGAAUUCCAGGUGUAGCGGUGAAAUGCGUAGAGAUCUGGAGGAAUACCGGUGGCGAAGGCGGACCCCUGGACGAAGACUGACGCUCAGGUGCGAAAGCGUGGGGAGCAAACAGG
rnacentral:rRNA from 1 species